CGUUCCACCUCGCCUUGUUCCACGCGUGCGGUGCACGGGCGGGUUUGGAGGGAGCAAUCACGACCAGGCUGGUGCUCA
rnacentral:miRNA from 1 species